GUCCCAACGUCAUGAUGGAGAUAUUAUGUGCCGAAAAAGACCUGAUGCUGCUGCCUCCUAAAGUACGUAGCAUAACAAGUUAACAACCAAAUAACCCCAUCUCUUUCUUGGCUUCCAUUACAGUUUUCUAGGAGAGGAGGAAGACAAAAAAGAUACAAGAAAGCAACCAAAUAAAACAGGCAUUUAAGCUUGGAUGAGACUCUAAGUAAGAUU
rnacentral:lncRNA from 1 species